GGUGGCAGGAGAGCCGAGGCACACUCGCGGAGCCGGGAGGCGGGGACGGCGCUGGACAAGAGAGACGCUAAUGGGAUUAGCCCCACCCCACAGGCAUCCUUGGCGCCCUCCAGCGUGACACCAGCUACUGAAGGAGAACAGUUUCCGACGUCCAGGCCUGUGAUUUAUCUGAGAGUUGUCACUGCUGUCAUUAUCCGCCCGCUAGGACAACUGACAUCUGCCAGGCGGCUGUCAGGACGGCACAGAGAGAAGCCAGAUGACGGCCCUUGAACUGGAUGAGUUGGAAACCACAACGAGAAAGGCUCCCCUGACUCCACUCGACUGGUUUCCCGGUUCCCUGGUGAUCACAGCAAGUGCUUCCCCCAGAAAGAGCGGUUCACCCAGCCCGCCGGCGCGGCUCAGCGGUUGAGUGUUGACCUAAGAACCGGGAGGUCACGGUGGGGUUCCCGGUCCAGGGCACCUGCCCGGGUUGGGGGCUCGAUCCCCGGGGGGGGGGGGGCGUGCAGGAGGCAGCCGAUGAUUCUCCCUCAUCAUUCAAGUUCCCUCUCCCUCUCCCUUCCUCUCUGAA